GACGAACGCUGGCGGCGUGCUUAACACAUGCAAGUCGAACGGAAAGGCCCUGCUUUUGUGGGGUGCUCGAGUGGCGAACGGGAGAGUAACACGUGAGUAACCUGCCCUUGACUUUGGGAUAACUUCAGGAAACUGGGGCUAAUACCGGAUAGGAGCUCCUGCUGCAUGGUGGGGGUUGGAAAGUUUCGGCGGUUGGGGAUGGACUCGCGGCUUAUCAGCUUGUUGGUGGGGUAGUGGCUUACCAAGGCUUUGACGGGUAGCCGGCCUGAGAGGGUGACCGGCCACAUUGGGACUGAGAUACGGCCCAGACUCCUACGGGGGGCAGCAGUGGGGAAUAUUGCACAAUGGGCGGAAGCCUGAUGCAGCAACGCCGCGUGCGGGAUGACGGCCUUCGGGUUGUAAACCGCUUUCGCCUGUGACGAAGCGUGAGUGACGGUAAUGGGUAAAGAAGCACCGGCUAACUACGUG
rnacentral:rRNA from 1 species